UGGCGGACGGGUGAGUAACGCGUGGGUAACCUGCCUCACACUGGGGGACAACAGUUAGAAAUGACUGCUAAUACCGCAUAAGCGCACAGGACCGCAUGGUCCGGUGUGAAAAACUCCGGUGGUGUGAGAUGGACCCGCGUCUGAUUAGGUAGUUGGUGGGGUAACGGCCUACCAAGCCGACGAUCAGUAGCCGACCUGAGAGGGUGACCGGCCACAUUGGGACUGAGACACGGCCCAG
rnacentral:rRNA from 1 species